UACGGAGGGUGCAAGCGUUAUCCGGAUUCACUGGGUUUAAAGGGUGCGUAGGUGGGUUGGUAAGUCAGUGGUGAAAUCUCCGUGCUUAACAUGGAAACUGCCAUUGAUACUACUGAUCUUGAAUUUUCAGGAGGUAAGCGGAAUAUGUCAUGUAGCGGUGAAAUGCCUAGAUAUGACAUAGAACACCAAUUGCGAAGGCAGCUUACUACAGGAAUAUUGACACUGAUGCACGAAAGCGUGGGGAUCAAACAGG
rnacentral:rRNA from 1 species